AACGAACGCUGGCGGCAUGCCUAACACAUGCAAGUCGAACGAGACCUUCGGGUCUAGUGGCGCACGGGUGCGUAACGCGUGGGAAUCAACCCUUGGGUUCGGAAUAACAGUUGGAAACGACUGCUAAUACCGGAUGAUGACGAAAGUCCAAAGAUUUAUCGCCAGAGGAUGAGCCCGCGUAGGAUUAGCUAGUUGGUGUGGUAAAGGCGCACCAAGGCGACGAUCCUUAGCUGGUCUGAGAGGAUGAUCAGCCACACUGGGACUGAGACACGGCCCAGACUCCUACGGGAGGCAGCAGUGGGGAAUAUUGGACAAUGGGCGAAAGCCUGAUCCAGCAAUGCCGCGUGAGUGAUGAAGGCCUUAGGGUUGUAAAGCUCUUUUACCCGGGAUGAUAAUGACAGUACCGGGAGAAUAAGCUCCGGCUAACUCCGUGCCAGCCGCCGCGGUAA
rnacentral:rRNA from 1 species